rnacentral:rRNA from 1 species
UACGAAGGGUGCAAGCGUUACUCGGAAUUACUGGGCGUAAAGCGCGCGUAGGCGGUUUGUUAAGUCUGGCGUGAAAUCCCCGGGCUCAACCUGGGAAUGGCGUUGGAUACUGGCUAGCUAGAGUGUGUCAGAGGAUGGUGGAAUUCCCGGUGUAGAGGUGAAAUGCGUAGAGAUCGGGAAGAACACCAGUGGCGAAGGCGGCCAUCUGGGACAACACUGACGCUGAGGCACGAAAGCGUGGGGAGCAAACAGG